rnacentral:tRNA from 1 species
GGUGAGAUGGGUGAGUGGCUUAAACCACCAGUUUGCUAAACUGACGUACUCGUGAGGGUACCGCGGGUUCGAAUCCGCUCUCACCG